AACUUAGCUUAACUACUUCUUUUUGACUGAUAUUUACUAAAUAAGUUAUAAUAAGUAUAUUGUUACUGUACUAAGUAAAUAAACAAAUAUUUAAAAACUCUGGUUUAAUGUGUCUCGCUUGUAUUACUAAAUACACCUGUCUUUUAUGCUGACGCUAUCAGCAUGUUUAUCAGACGAACGGUGGGUGCCUCGAUAAAGCCCAUUUUGGAGCAUACCUAAUUUAAAAAGUCCAUACAUCUUUGUAUGAUGGUUGCAAGGGCUGUUCUUGUGAUGCUAUGAGUGAUGUAAAGUUCAGGAAAUAGAGAAGUGAGAAUAGUGUUCAAAAUCAACUCAUAUACUUAACUUCAAAAAAAACUGCAUAUUAUAUUUAUUUUUCUAUUUUAAAUGGGCAUAAGUAGUAGGCGCCACUUUAUUUAAUGCAUUUAGGCCACAUCCACAUUUUAUGUACCUAUAUCAUUCAUCUAUUACUAAGUUUGCUAAUAAUUUUUAAAAGUCACAGAUUGGACGGGAGCCUUUGUAGUCUUGAAGCAUGGCAGAAAAAAAUUAAGGAAAAUUCACACAUGAAAAUUUUAAACAAAGAUAUCUGCUAUUCUAAAUAUAACAUACAUAUACAAGUCUUGUAAAUCUCAUAUCAUAACUAUUAGUAUAAUCUUGUAAAUCUCAUAUCAUAACUAUUAGUAUAAGUCUUGUAAAUCUCAUAUCAUAACUAUUAUAUUCAAGUCUUGUAAAUCUCAUAUCAUAACUAUUAGUAUAAGUCUUGUAAAUCUCAUAUCAUAACU
rnacentral:misc_RNA from 1 species